GCCUGGGUGGCUCAGUUGGUUAAGCGUCUGACUUAGGCUCAGGUCAUGAUCUCACAGUUUGUGGGUUCGAGCCCCACGUCAGGCU
rnacentral:tRNA from 1 species